UACAACGUUUAAAAAACAUUUGAAGAGAUACUUGAACAGAGGGAUAUGGGCCAAACGCAAGCAAAUGGGACUACUUUAGCUUGGAGAACCUGGUAGAUAUGAUGAGUUGGACCAAAGGGUCUGUUUCUGUACUAUAUGACUAUAACUCCAUGAAAAAUUAGAGAGGUGAGCCCAUGGUAAGUAAUUUACUAAUUUUCAUAAUGGAGGAACAUAGGGGAAUACUUUGUACUGCUUUUCAGUCUGCAUUACAUUGAGAAGGGUGAUGUUUUACUAAUUUAUAUAUGAAGCAAUUUUUUUUAUGAUCCCUAGAUCAUGCUAUUGUUCAAUUGUAAAUUGGAAAGUAAAGGAUGCAUUAUAGUUUGUAGGGGAGGUUGACUUAUGGAAGUAAUUAAUGAUGUUGAACAUCGGAGAAUAUUAACUAGAAAAAUCUUUAAAUGGUGAUGGUAUUUUUGAAGCCAUGAGGACAGACACAUCACAUAUUGAAUUUUAUCAAUUGCAAUGAAAGAAAGACCAGAGUGAAAUUCAACUAUGUAAUUGUUGGGAACUUUUUAUUGGGAAAAAAAAAUCACAUUUACCAUAUAUUAAAAUUUAGUAAAGUCAUUCUUAAAUCUAUUUUGAGUAUUGCUGGAAAGAGUUUUCAUCUUACACCCCUCAAGUUUUCAACCAAUUUAAGGGGAAAACAAUAUUUACAUUGGAUGAGAGGGGAGUUCUUAUAGAUAGGUAUGGUGUCGCUAUGAAGAAUGUACCAGUUAAUGUUGAUUGACAGUUUGUUAUUAGGCUUUGAUUGGUCAAGGUAUUAUCCUGAGAAAUGAACUAGCAAAUAAUUGCAAUUUAUUCUGUGAGGUUGAAACAGGUGCAGUGUGUGUACAUGUUAUUUCUGUUUGCAAAGAACUUGGUCCCGUCUAUUAAUUUGCAUAGUAUUUUAUAUAUGCAAUUGCGCCACACUGUGAACCCAACUUGUCAAUACUAAUAGAUUGAUUGUCAGCAUAAUUCUUCACACCCUCAGGAGUAUUCAACAAAUAUUGUCCAGUUGUGGAAUCACAUCUAAUGUUGGUAUUUUGAAACACAAUUCUGGUACAUUCAUAUAUGAGAUCAUACAAUGCCAUGACUUACUUGUGAUUACUUUUUUAUGAAGGUUGAGGCACCUACUUUAGUCAAAACUUUGUAACUGCUAUUUAACAUUGCAGAAGAUCCCAAGAAACUUCACAUACUAAGCCAAAGAAGAAGAUUUUGGAUCAAUUUGUGAUGAAAUAUUUGGUCAAAGAGAUGGGUUUUAAAAACAUCUUAAAGGAAAAGAGGAGGAAGAGCAGUUUAGGGAGGCAGUUCCAGAGCUUAGUGUCGAGGGCAUUAAGGGUUGAAGGAACUGAUUGAUGCAAAAGGCCACCGUUUAGACUUUUUUUAGAUUAGAUUGCUUACAGUGUGGAAACAGGCCCUUCGGCCCAACAAGUCCACACUAACCCGCCGAAGCGCAACCCACCCAGACCCAUUCCCCUACAUUUAUCCCUUCAUCUAACACUACGGGCAAUUCAUAGAGUUGUAGAACUGGUAAAGAUUAUAGAAAAAGAGAGGGGAUGAGCACUUAAACACUUGAAAUUUAAAGAUUUGAAGCCCACAGAUCAAAGCUGAAUAGACUUGGUUUAUAACAGGUUUUGGGUGUUAACUGAUAUUUAACUAGUGUGAAGGACAUCUGCUAAAAAUACAUUGAAUGUGGCAAAAUCUGGAGUUGAGAAAGAAACAGGAUUUGGCAGCAGACAAAGAAAAUGAAAUUCUGAUUCAGGUGAUUUUAUGGAGAUGGAAAUAGGGGGUCUUUGGGAAGGGAUAUAGGGUCAAAAGAUUAAGUUAGGGUCUAAUAAUUGUAGUGUGGCAGAGGUUCUGAGUCUGGACCACAUCACAGCUAAUGUACUCAGAAUUGAACCUUCUACAAAGUUUCCUAAAACAAUGAAUACACUUCAAAAGGGCUUCAAUUUCUGUAAAGCAAUUUGCGAUGCCCUUUGGAAAUAAUAACUUGCAUGUCUUUCUUUCUGCAAUUGCUUCAGUUAUUGUAUACAGUGAAACUGCAAUGAGUUAAAUGCAGAUAACCAAAACCAAAAGUCAUGUUGAAGUUCUCAACUAUUACUGCUGGAAUUCAAUAGUAAAUCCAAUAAAACAAUUCCUGUGGUAAGUCAAAACACCAGACGGGCAAUUUGGAUUAGUUGAGCUUGUGAAGCUGAUCAUAUGACUAUAUCAACCAAAUGGUACGAUGGUAGAUCACAUUGGAAUGCAAAAUCACAAAGCUCUGGGCAAGCUGUCACUCGACAGGAAGUUUAAUCAAAUCCUGCUAGUUUGAUCAAAUGUGUGAGAAAAUUAAAGUUGAUGCUUUAAACAAGUAGAAAACCAUGGUGCAAAAUAGAAAGCGGACAUUGCUAAAAAAUGCCAAUCUUAAAUUUGUCAACUAUUCUGAAGCAUAAACUGAACAUUCUUGGAAUAUUUUGACAAGCAGGCAUUUUCUCCAGUAAGGAAGAGAUGAGAAUGAUCACCUAUCCUGAUGUUAAAUAAAACUCUGUCAAUGUGGUUCAAGGCAGCCAAACAGACAGUUUCCACCUCCAGUCCAAUCCUACAGGAAAGGAAAGUCACCCUGGCAAAAAGACUGGGCCACAAGUAACUCACCUGCAGUGAGAGACAGCUGGACUAAUUCAGCUGGCAUCGUCUUCCACAUGGUAGAUGGGAGAGGUGCAACACUUAUGGCAGCAAUAGCAGAUGAUUCACUACAAAAUGGUUUUGCCAGGUCCCACAUAAUAUACACCAUUUUAAUUCAGGUGAAACCAUACUGCUGUUUCAUGUUUAAAGGUAAAAAUGUAUUGAUAGUAAAUGGAGAAAGGAACGUGUCACUGCGGCAACACGGAUAGCACUGAAAAGUUGAUGCUUCUGGUGGUGGGAAAGGCCAAGAAGCCAUGUUACUUUGCAAAUGUCAAGAUGCUAUCCAAACUGUGUGAGGCUAAUAGAACCAUCCCGAUGGCCUGAGCUGUGGAUCAGAAAAGUGGACAAAAUAUAUCAAUGGAAUUAAAGAAGAUUAGUAUCAUCACAGUCAACUACCUGUGCAUCUAACAUCAGUGACCAAAGAUAAUACACUUUUAGAGAAAAAGUUUAGAGGUUUUUUAGAGCUAACUCCUAAUAUUUCUAAUAUGAUUUUUACUGUACAAGAUCAGGCCAUUCUAAUGUGUGCAAGAAAUAAAGACAUAUUUACUAUUUA